rnacentral:rRNA from 1 species
UGGGGAAUUUUGGACAAUGGGCGCAAGCCUGAUCCAGCCAUGCCGCGUGCAGGAUGAAGGCCUUCGGGUUGUAAACUGCUUUUGUACGGAACGAAAAGGUGCCUUCUAGUAAAGGGCGCUCAUGACGGUACCGUAAGAAUAAGCACCGGCUAACUACGUGCCAGCAGCCGCGGUAAUACGUAGGGUGCGAGCGUUAAUCGGAAUUACUGGGCGUAAAGCGUGCGCAGGCGGUUUUGUAAGACAGAGGUGAAAUCCCCGGGCUCAACCUGGGAACUGCCUUUGUGACUGCAAGGCUGGAGUGCGGCAGAGGGGGAUGGAAUUCCGCGUGUAGCAGUGAAAUGCGUAGAUAUGCGGAGGAACACCGAUGGCGAAGGCAAUCCCCUGGGCCUGCACUGACGCUCAUGCACGAAAGCGUGGGGAGCAAACA